ACCAGACUCCUACGGGAGGCAGCAGUGGGGAAUAUUGCACAAUGGGGGAAACCCUGAUGCAGCAACGCCGCGUGAAGGAAGACGGUUUUCGGAUUGUAAACUUCUGUUCUUAGUGAAGAAGAAUGACGGUAGCUAAGGAGCAAGCCACGGCUAACUACGUGCCAGCAGCCGCGGUAAUACGUAGGGGGCAAGCGUUAUCCGGAUUUACUGGGUGUAAAGGGAGCGUAGACGGCUGUGCAAGCCAGAUGUGAAAGCGCGGGGCUCAACCCCGGGACUGCAUUUGGAACUGUGUGGCUGGAGUGUCGGAGAGGCAGGCGGAAUUCCUAGUGUAGCGGUGAAAUGCGUAGAUAUCAGGAGGAACACCGGUGGCGAAGGCGGCCUGCUGGACUGCAACUGACGUUGAGGCCCGAAAGCGUGGGGAGCAAACAGGAUUAGAUACCCUGGUAAG
rnacentral:rRNA from 1 species